UGGGGAAUAUUGCACAAUGGGCGCAAGCCUGAUGCAGCCAUGCCGCGUGUGUGAAGAGGGCCUUCGGGUUGUAAAGCACUUUCAGCGAGGAGGAAGGUGGUGGACUUAAUACGUUCAUCAAUUGACGUUACUCGCAGAAGAAGCACCGGCUAACUCCGUGCCAGCAGCCGCGGUAAUACGGAGGGUGCAAGCGUUAAUCGGAAUUACUGGGCGUAAAGCGCACGCAGGCGGUUUGUUAAGUCAGAUGUGAAAUCCCCGGGCUCAACCUGGGAACUGCAUUUGAAACUGGCAAGCUAGAGUCUCGUAGAGGGGGGUAGAAUUCCAGGUGUAGCGGUGAAAUGCGUAGAGAUCUGGAGGAAUACCGGUGGCGAAGGCGGCCCCCUGGACGGAAGACUGACGCAUCAGGCUGCGAAAGCGUGGGGCAGCAAACAGGAUUAGAUACCCUGGUAGUCCAGCGCUGUAAACGAUGUCGAUUUUGGAGGUUGUGCCCUUGAGGCGUGGCUUCCGGAGCUAACGCGUUAAGUCGACCGCCUGGGGAGUACGGCGCAAGGUUAAACUCAAAUG
rnacentral:rRNA from 1 species